rnacentral:rRNA from 1 species
CCGAAAGUUGAGGCGGCACAGGAUGUUUCUACGGCCUAUCAGGUAGUAGUCAGGGUAUGACCUGACUAGCCUACGACGGGUACGGGCGUUGAGAGACGUUGCCCGGAGAUGGACUCUGAGACACGAGUCCAGGCCCUACGGGGCGCAGCAGGCGCGAAAACUUCGCAAUGUGGGAAACCACGACGAGGGAACUCCAAGUGCCAGCACACAGUGUUGGCUGUUUUCAAGCCUAAAAAGCUUGAAGAGUAAGGGCUGGGUAAGACGGGUGCCAGCCGCCGCGGUAAUACCUGCAGCUCGAGUGGUGAUCGCUUUUAUUGGGCCUAAAACGUCCGUAGCCUGUCAUGUAAAUGCUUGGGUAAAUCGAAGGGCUUAACUCUUCGAAUUCCGGAUAGACUGCAUGACUAGGGACCGGGAGAGGUUAGAGGUACUCCGGGGGUAGAGGUGAAAUUCUGUAAUCCUCGGGGGACCACCAGUGGCGAAGGCGUCUAACUAGAACGGGUCCGACGGUGAGGGACGAAGCCCUGGGGCGCAAACGGGAUUAGAUACCCCGGUAGUCCAGGGUGUAAACGCUGCGCGCUUGGUGUUGGGGCGGCCACGAGCCGGCCCAGUGCCGGAGAGAAGUUGUUAAGCGCGCUGCCUGGGGAGUACGGUCGCAAGACUGAAACUUAAAGGAAUUGGCGGGGGAGCACUGCAACGGGUGGAGCGUGCGGUUUAAUUGGAUUCAACGCCGGAAAACUCACCAGGAGCGACUACCGCAUGAGACUCAGGCUGAUGGUCUUAGUCGAUAAUCAGGUAGAGAGGUGGUGCAUGGCCGUCGUCAGUUCGUACCGUAAGGCGUUCUGUUAAGUCAGAUAACGAACGAGACCCUCAUCUUUAAUUGCAAGUUCAUUCUCCGGAGUGGGCGCACAUUAGAGAGACCGCUGGCGCUAAGUCAGAGGAAGGUGAGGUCAACGGUAGGUCAGUAUGCCCCGAAUCUCCUGGGCUACACGCGCGCUACAAAGGUUGGGACAAUGGGUCCCUACACCGAAAGGUGGCGGCAAUCUCGAAACCCAAUCAUAGUUCGGAUUGUGGGCUGCAACUCGCCCACAUGAAGCUGGAAUCCGUAGUAAUCGCGGAUCAACAUCCCGCGGUGAAUAUGCCCCUGCUCCUUGCACACACCGCCCGUCAAACCAUGCGAGUGGGGUAUAAGUGAGGGUGCGUCUUCCUGGCGUAUUCGAA